rnacentral:rRNA from 1 species
GGUUUAAUUCGAUGAUACGCGAGGGAACCUUACCCGGGCUUGAAUUGCAGAGGAAGGAUUUGGAGACAAUGACGCCCUUCGGGGUCUCUGUGAAGGUGCUGCAUGGUUGUCGUCAGCUCGUGCCGUGAGGUGUCGGCUUAAGUGCCAUAACGAGCGCAACCCCUCUCCUUAGUUGCCAUCAGUUGAAGCUGGGCACUCUGGGGACACUGCCACCGUAAGGUGUGA